UGUUGUCGCUGACAGGUGAUUCCGUUACUGGCCAAGACACAUCGUGGACCGACAAGGAAUUUAUGGUAGCUCGUAAGUUGCCCUUCUGUCCGCACACGUUGUCGUGUGCAUCCGAUAUACAUAGAAUACACUGCUGGCACAUAGUAAAUAUUCAAAGUCCGGAGAAAAGGCAAACACCCUUCGCAUCCCCUGGGGUGCAGCGAUAAUGUCACUACCAGACGUGACUUGACGUUGAUUUAAAUUGUUUAACGUUUCAUUGUUAGUUACCUACAUAUUUUAUUUGGUAUUAGUGCACCAGUUAAAUAGAUAUUAAAUUUGGCAAAUCUCACUUACUGAAAGCAGGCUUAUUCACAUAUACAACAAUAAUAGAUUUGCUAAUUAAUUUUUAAUAAUGCAGUGUGUUCAAUAAAUAAAAAAUGUUGCUGGAGGCAAGAAAAACUCUCACAAAGGAUCAUAUUUUGUCCACAAAAGUAGAAAAAGGUUAUUUUCGAAAAAAUCCGGAACGACGAAUCCAAAGAAAGCUUAAAAGGAGAUCCAGUACACCGGAAAAUGGUUUGACCCACCCCAAAAAGGGAUCGGUGAUCUGUUAAAGGGACGUUUGCGGCAUACAAAGGAAAAAAACCUACCUAAUAGCAAAUUAAAACGAUAUAAAUCACCGGAGGCGUAAAGGGAAUAUAAAUAAAAAAGGCGGG